rnacentral:tmRNA from 1 species
GGGGGCGAAUGGAUUCGACGGGAUUGUAGCGUCGAAGAAUUGCGUGCCGUGGUUUUCAGGAGGGCCACGUAAAAAAACCUGAGCAUCUCUAAGUGCCAAUUCAUUUGGCAACGUCGCUUACGCUUAAGUAGGCGGCCGUUCUCUUGCAGCCUUGUCUGUUGGUUGUCUGAGGGCGUCGAUUUAACAGACUAGCUCUUUACAUUCGUUUGCGGGUACAGAGCGAAACUUAAGCGAACUGGCUUUUCCGGAAGUUUGUUUGUUGUCCAUGGAAAAGUAAGAAUUUUACAAUAAACUACGCACGUAGUGGUUCUUCCAUUCUCUUUUUCGGACGAGGGUUCGAUUCCCUCCGCCUCCACUC